rnacentral:rRNA from 1 species
CCUACGGGGGGCUGCAGUGAGGAAUAUUGGUCAAUGGACGAGAGUCUGAACCAGCCAAGUAGCGUGAAGGAUGACUGCCCUAUGGGUUGUAAACUUCUUUUAUAAAGGAAUAAAACGAGGCACGUGUGCCUUUUUGCAUGUACUUUAUGAAUAAGGAUCGGCUAACUCCGUGCCAGCAGCCGCGGUAAUACGGAGGAUCCGAGCGUUAUCCGGAUUUAUUGGGUUUAAAGGGAGCGUAGAUGGGUUGUUAAGUCAGUUGUGAAAGUUUGCGGCUCAACCGUAAAAUUGCAAUUGAUACUGGCAGUCUUGAGUACAGUUGAGGUAGGCGGAAUUCGUGGUGUAGCGGUGAAAGGCUUAGAGAUCACGAAGAACCCCGAUUGCGAAGGCAGCUUACUAAACUGUGACUGACAUUGAUGCUCGAAAGUGUGGGUAUCAAACAGGAUUAGAUACCCUAGUAGUC